rnacentral:lncRNA from 1 species
CUUGGAAACAAAAAGCUUUCUAAAUUAUUUAUUUAUUGAGAUGGUCAGAUAGGGUCUCCAUGUGUUGGCCAGGCUGCUCUCAAACUGUUGAACUAUGGGGCUAAGCAGUCUUCUUGCCUUAAGUGUCCUGAGUAGCUGGACAACUUAAAAAUGAACUUCACUUUUUUAUCAUUGCAAUUCCAUACAAAUGCCUCAGUUGCUUAUUUCAGCUGUGAAAUAAAUGGUCUUUUAUUUCAGAUUCCUUUUUCCAAGUUUUUCUUCUCGAAUCAAGGAAGAAUCCAGGAUGCCCAGUACCAGCUUGUGCUUGACAAGGGCCUCACACAUGCUAGGGAAGUGCUCUACACUGAGCCCAAAAUAAAACAUUUCUUUGAUGGCAUCCAGUGAAUGCUGGUACGUGUUCCUUAAGGCUAAAUGCUGUUGCUAAGAGAGAGAUAAGCAUGAAACUAGUUUCUAAGCUGUGUAUAAAUGCAAGUACUGGUGCAGAGGUGUUGUGUAAAUAACUUAAUGCUUUUGUCCCAAAGUUCUCAUGAGGAAUCUCUGAGGUGAUUUUUGAUGGCCACCUACCAUUCUUCCUGAGAGGUUUCUUCUGUUUCCUAAUUCAUCCUUUUUUUGGUGGUACUGGGGUUUGAACUCAGAGCUUUGUGCUUGUGAGGCAGGUGCUCUAUCUGUUAAACCAGGCUUCCAGCCCAAUCUACUUCAUCUUUGAGGAAAGGAGAUUGUUAAAUAAUAUUUAAACAUUUUUGUUUUUGUGGUGAUGGGUUUUGAACUCAGGACCUUUCACUUGCUAGGCAGGUGCUCUACCACUUGAGCCACAUUCGCAGUCCGUUAAAUAAUACUAAGAUAGGAGCCGGGCAUGCUGGUAGCUCAGGCCUGUAAUCCUGGCUACUUGGGAGGCUGAGAUCAGGGAAUCAUGGUUCAAGGUCAGCACAGCUGGCCCCCAUCUCUAAAAUAACCAGAACAAAAUGGAUCGGAAUUGUAGCUCAAGUGGUAGAGUGCCAGCUUUGCAAGUGAGCCACCAGUGCUCAGCUGUAGUGACUUCUAAUGUAACCACUGGAGAAACUAAGAUACUACAUUACUGUCUUUAUAGCUUCCCCAGUCAUUUUAUUCAUUUAAUCCAACUGCAUCUUAGAACCCAGUCAUUUUAAAUAUUACAUGUUGGAUUUGUCAAAAAUAAGACCCUGAUUACCAGUGUGUUUAUUCAUUCAUCCUUUUGAAGACAGUUUAAAUCGAUAAAUUCUUGUGAUCUUAGAGAAAGAGGUACAAAACUAUUAGCCAGAGUACCUCAAGGGAGCCAAAACUAUGAAUAAACAAGGGCAGUAGGCUUUUCA